rnacentral:rRNA from 1 species
UACAGAGGUCUCAAGCGUUGUUCGGAUUCAUUGGGCGUAAAGGGUGCGUAGGCGGCGCGGUAAGUCGGGUGUGAAAUCUCGGGGCUUAACUCCGAAACUGCAUUCGAUACUGCCGUGCUUGAGGACUGGAGAGGAGACUGGAAUUUACGGUGUAGCGGUGAAAUGCGUAGAUAUCGUAAGGAAGACCAGUGGCGAAGGCGGGUCUCUGGACAUUUCCUGACGCUGAGGCACGAAAGCCAGGGGAGCAAACGGG